rnacentral:rRNA from 1 species
GGAGGAAAAGAACUAACAAGGAUUCCCCUAGUAACUGCGAGUGAAGCGGGAAAAGCUCAAAUUUAAAAUCUGGCAGUCUCUGGCUGUCCGAGUUGUAAUCUAGAGAAGUGUUACCCGCGCUGGACCGUGUAUAAGUCUCCUGGGAUGGAGCGUCACAGAGGGUGAGAAUCCCGUCUUUGACACGGACUACCAGGGCUUUGUGGUAUGCUCUCAAAGAGUCGAGUUGUUUGGGAAUGCAGCUCAAAAUGGGUGGUAAAUUCCAUCUAAAGCUAAAUAUUGGCGAGAGACCGAUAGCGAACAAGUACCGUGAGGGAAAGAUGAAAAGAACUUUGGAAAGAGAGUUAAACAGUACGUGAAAUUGCUGAAAGGGAAACGCUUGAAGUCAGUCGCAUUGGCCAGGGAUCAGCCUCACUUGUUUGUGUGGUGUACUUUCUGGUUGAUGGGUCAGCAUCAAUUUUGACCGCUGGAAAAAGASAAGAGGAAUGUGGCAGCYUCGGCUGUGUUAUAGCCUCUUGUCACAUGCAGUGGUUGGGAUUGAGGAACUCAGCACGCCGCAAGGCCGGGUUUCGACCACGUUCGUGCUUAGGAUGCUGGCAUAAUGGCUUUA